CAAGACAGGACCAAGAGAAGCUGGUAGCAACAGGAUCUGAACAAAUGAAAAAUGCAAGAACGGAAGCCAGCAGCAGCUGAACAUCACCUCUGAUACCUGUGAGAUGGUCUGCCUCUGAAGGUGACAUUGUCCAGGACUCAGGGCUUGUCAUUUGUUUCUGGGACACGAAAAAAUGGGAAAUACAACAGCUCCAAUCUCCUGUGUUGCAAAGGAAGGCAGCUGUCAUGUAACCAGGAAACAAAACACGGUAUCUUCAUCAUCUUUAAUCCUGAGGCUGAAAAUCGAGAACUGGUUGUGGAUUUGGCAUGUGGGGCUCAGGUACAGUCCAGCGUGAGACAUAUACUUACCUGUUCAGCACAAGAUUACUUUGAAUAAGAAGCUUAAAUGAUAACAUGAUGUGAAGAUGAAGCAUGGAUUUAUCAAUCCCUACUGCACCAAAAAUCUCUUCGUGAUAAACUUUUCCUGCAUAUAUGUCUGUUUUGUCUAAUGGAAAGUAGCUGAGGUGUGUAAUCAAGCUGAUUUGGGGGAAUCUUUAUAAUUAUCAGGAAAACUCAGGAACUAUCUGUUAAUGUGAAUUUUCUGGCAAUGUGAACUGUGGGAGUAAGAAAACAUCUAUUUUGAUUUAUUUGACUUUGGCUCCAGUUUCAUGGGAUUUGGGUUUCCUGUGAUUGGGUCUAAAUAAGGAGAAUCAUAUGAGAAAAUGAAAGAUCAGAAAGCAGGACUCAGAGCCUUGUUGAACAGGAGACUGAAGCUACAAAAUGUCUCAGGCAGAAGAGCAAUUCAUUAAUUACCAGUGGAAAGAAAAGUUGAAUCCAGGAUACAGUGUUUUUCUUGAAGAGGUGAGAAGGCCUUGGCAGUUAGAGUAGCAGAACUGAAAAGAAACACGUACAUCUAUUUACUUUGUUACCAGUACAUUGGUUUCAUAAGACAUUUUUGCUUUCUUUACCAUAGUUUCUCUACUGUAAAAUGAAAAAGACAUUUAUGGGAUUUAACUUUGAAAGCUUAAUUCUAAAAAUCAUAUUUUAAAAAUAUCAGUUAUGGAAAUCAAUUCAUUCAUAAUAUACAUUGGGCAGCUGUGAUGUACACAAUAUCGUAUUUGUUUUUAUAAAGCGCCAAAGCAGUGUAACCCUCCUGCUUUGCUCUGAAUGUGUCCCCCAGAAUUCAUAUUGACAUUCUAACUCCCAAGGUGAUGAUGGUAUUUGCAGGUGGGGGUUUGGGAGGUGGUUAAAUCUGGAGGACAGAACUCUCACAAAUGGGACUAGAGCCCUUAUACAAGAAGCUCCUCAGAGUUCCCUUGCCCCUUUCCAUCCUGUGAGAGAACAAGAAGUCUGCAGCCUGCAACCUGGAAAGCUUUCCCUAGAACCGACCAUGCUGGUAUCCUCAUCUUGAACUUGCAG